UCAGCGGGGGCAUCUCAAUCCAGGGCAAAAUUCUUUGGGGGUGUCACUGAAUUACUUGCUUAUAUCCUUUGUCAAACAACUUCUCAGGUAUCAGGGUGAUCUGUUACUUCUCUAUGUCUUGUCACAAUGUAUGUUUAUUGUGUUCAUUCAUCUACCCACAGGGGCCUCCAAGGAGCCACCACCCACUCCAACCAACCUCUCAAAGAGGCAAGUGAAGCAGAAGGUGGAGAGCCUGACCACUCAGCUCCAAGUGAUGACCGCCCAACGGAAUGAUCUGAGAGACCACCUCAUAUUAGUAACCGAAGGAUCCUUGGACAGCAGGCUCUACCACAGUCCAAAUCCUUUCUAUGAAAAGUUCAAGAUGGAACAUCAGCAGGUCAUGUCAGACCUGCAGAAUUUCGAGAAUGAGAAUUGGGAGGCCUCACAGAAGCUCAGUGAGCUGACCAAGGAGAAAGUCUUCCUUUGAGUCGGCUCCUGAUGGAGCAGAGUCAGCUCAAAAAGAAAUUGGAUAUGCUGAGGAAAUAGAAGGAGAACCUACUGGAGGAUUGGGUCCUGCUGAAGCACCACUUGCAAGUGCUCAGUAAGGAUCAAGAAGAGAGCAGUGACCUCCAGAAGCAGCAACAGCAGCACCCUUUAUGAGAACUGAGGAGGCUGAAGGAAUCCAUAGUCAACUAGAAACACUGACAUUCUCCACUCUGUGAUCAAGGCCUCCUCAGAACAAGACAUGUACUACUAGUUGUGAAAUCACCAGUGAGGCAAAUAUCAUCUACCCUGCAGGUCGUUCAUCCAUAAUCUCAUCCAUGUGUUUGUUGAAUCACUAGUUAUGGAAUAAAGAAACCAUCAAGAAGAUGCUUGAGAUUCAAAAAAGUAAACACCAAGAAUUAUGCAGAAAAAGCUGACAUCUACCAGCAAGUGUUCCCAGUAAGGGCCACGGAGAGAGAAUAUGAUUCUGCUCUGAAAGUUUAUUGGUAGCUGACUGAGUCCUGAGCCCUUCAUAUGUGGAGGGAGAUAUGUCAAUGGAGACUGUGUUGAUGUCAUGCUGCUAUCCAGACAGAACACACAAGGGAAGCAUCAUAUUCUCACUCCAGUACAGUGCUGGACCUACUCAAUUUCAUGCACAUGUGAUAGUGAAGAGAAUUGUUCUGAGAGAUGAUUUAGGAAGGAUGUCACCAUGAGCUUUUAUGUCUUUUGGUAAGAGAUGCUCCCUGUGUCAUUUUUUUGCUCUUGAAUGGGCACACAGACACAUGUUGGCAGACAGAAUCAUAUAGUGACCAACAUGGCAUAAGAUCAACUUUGGCAAGGACUUAACCUAGAAGCCCCAAAGUGGCAUAACUGCACUUGUCUUGAGGAUGUUAUUUCAGUUCAGGGUUCUCUUUCAACUUGUGUCCAAAGCCAGUAACAGAGCGUAGGACAUCUGUAUGAAGAGAAAGCUUCUUAUGUAAAUAGUUUUGGGGUUUUCAUGAAUUUAGGUUUUGUUGUUCUUUGUUUUGUUUUGCUGUUUUUUUAUUUUUUGGUUCUUUGUUCUUUCUUUGAUUUUAUAUUUUGCUAAAUCUAUACACUGGAUAUACUAAGCACCCCUUUAAGGCCCUAUUCAGUCAAAUUUCUGU